CACGUAGGGUGCGAGCGUUGUCCGGAAUUAUUGGGCGUAAAGAGCUCGUAGGCGGUGUGUCGCGUCGGCCGUGAAAACCUGUGGCUUAACCAUGGGCUUGCGGUCGAUACGGGCAUCACUAGAGUUCGGCAGGGGAGACUGGAAUUCCUGGUGUAGCGGUGAAAUGCGCAGAUAUCAGGAGGAACACCGGUGGCGAAGGCGGGUCUCUGGGCCGAUACUGACGCUGAGGCGCGAAAGCUAGGGUAGCAAACGGG
rnacentral:rRNA from 1 species